GUCCCUCGGGAGACGGUCCCAGCUACCUUUUAUCUCCUCAACAUGUGCCCAGAGCCUAUCAAGCAGAGGAAACCUAGUGCAGAAGCAGCUACUGGGAACCAUAGCCUGGCCUACUCGGCUAUCUGUAUCUGCCGACAGAUGCGGUGGGGUGUAAGACUCAGGCAAAACAUCUGUUUGGUCUUGGGUUACAGCACUGACCAGCAAUCAGCAGAGUGUCAUGAGGAACUUUUCAAUCAGAACAAUGAAGCUGGAAACCACAGAGCUACAGCCAACUACACAUCCUCUGACCCCGAAUUAUAUGCUUAUCUCAGUCCCCCUCACACUAAGGAGAGAAAAAAUAAAUAAAAGUCAAAGUCCUUGCUCCUUAGCAACCACAAUCUAUGAUCAAAACCACACAUAGAUGAAAAGUAUUUUAAACAAUUAUAAACAAAAUUUGAACAAAAAUACACAAUAUGAGAAUAACCAUGAUUUUUAGCGUGUGAAGGAAACUCAAAAUGAGGAAAAAGUAUUAUAGAAUCAGCAGGGACUGGAGGUAGCUAUAACCAUUUGCCCCAUUCUAUUUCCUACCAGAGAU
rnacentral:lncRNA from 1 species